CUCUCUUUCCCAUUGUAUUGCGUCGUCGACCAUGGUAUCGGCCGCCAUUAGCAGAGCCGUUGAACUCAAAAAAUGCACCAACAUUUCUGUUGGGCCUCUUAAUCACAAUUUCAGCCUUGGUUUCAAUGAAAAACUCCUCAAUUUUCCCAAAUUAGUCGCAAACGUUUUGGGUUCUUACUUAUGAUCUCCGCCUUCCGCUGUUCGAUAGAGCCCAUCUUUACAUAUGUUGAUCCUUUCACUGAAUAUAGAAUCCCUACUGUUGGGAUUGGCCUUUCAUCACUUUGAUCACACGAAAGUGGCAACGAUCGGAGGUACCUUUUUUUUCUUUGAUUUCUCCAUUUUCACUUUUUUUUUUUCUUUUUACAUACUUUGGUUUAAGGUACUACAAUGUUUUGGAGGGUUUGUUUUGUUGGAGCGGUGAUGAAUUUGAUUGAUGAUGAGUGUAGAGUUGGGAAAAUGGAUGGUGGUGGACGAUGGGUGUGAGACGCUAAUUGUUGGAUCGUAAAGAUUAUGACAUGAUUAACGGGUCCAUCUUCAUACUACUAGCGUAUUUCAAAAAGCUUUUUUGAUGAGUUCUUUAUGGUAUUUCGCUAGAAUUUCCAACUAUUGCAGCCUGCUUGUGCUUUCUGCAACAACCAUGGUGGCUGGUCUAUCUUUUUUCUCACUAUUCAAUGUGUCAGUGUUUAAAAUGGAGAUGGACUAAAGCUUGGGCAGUAGGCAUAGGAGCAGUGGCGGUAGUAGCUUGGAUCGGGACAGACAUUU